rnacentral:ncRNA from 2 species
UACAUUUGCAGCAUAUUCGGUUUCUUAUUCUUCUUUUAUCAUUUAGAAUAUAGAAUUAAAAGGGAAUUUGGUGAAAAUCCAAAACUGUUCCCGCAACUGUAAAACUUAUUUAAAGGCUUCAUUAAUAAAAACCACUGUAAAAAUUACGGGAAGGUAAAUGAAUGCUUGAGUUAAGUCAGGAGACCUGCCAAUAUCAAACUAAUUUA